GGCCACUUCUCCAAGGCCGCACACAAAUUCUGUAACAAUCACAUAGUUUUUCUUCCUUUCAAUCUUCAUACAGUAGGUCUAGACAGACAAGUUCUCUCCCCUCGCCAAAUCUGGAGUCAUCCUCAUGGCAGCCCUGUCUUGUAUACAAAAGGAGAUAGGGUCCUGAAGAAAAAAGUAUAACAGUUUGAGCUUUAUAAUGAAAAAUUACUUCCUUUGUUAAAAUCCACCAGCAUCUCCUAUGCUAGGUCAAGUGGUAUCACUGUGUUAUCUUUCACCUUUUAUGUAGUGGGAAUCACUUCUGAAUGGGAAGACCAGGAUCCAAUCUCUUCAUCUUCUUUAAAAGACACAGUGGUCAGUGAAGACACAUCAGUGAUGACAGACAGUCUUGAACCAGGACUAUUCCAGUGUUUGCAAGUUUGAGUUCGGAGUCUUACUGAUCACCUGUCAGCUAAGAUAGUAAAACCCUUGUGUUUGGCUGAAUAAUGACAUUGCUGAGGACACCAGAGGGGCUACACCUAGCCCAGUCCUUGGUGACCGCCAAGGGAAAUGCCUGCAGUGCGUGGCAGUGAGGCAGGAAGCUCCUGCUAACCAGCAGCUGUGGUUUUUGUAUGCACUUCUGGACCUGAAUGUUUUAGUUACUCCCAAAUCCUGUUUUAGGUGCCUAUAUCCCUUCUUUAAUUCCAUAGACACGCAUUCAUUUCAGCAAUUAUGUAGCUCAAUGCAUGCUUACUCUGAUUUCUAAUUUGUUGUUGAACUUUCUUAUCUCCUAGAAAAUAACUAUUUACUCUGAACUCGUAUUUAGAUACAUGUAUACAGAGUUAAUUAACCAUAGAGAAAAGCAAUGUGCAAACAUGUAUAUUAGUUGUCUUAAAUAUUCUGUCUACUUAAGAAGAAAGUGCUUUUAUAAACCAUUAUGCAUUUAAAAUAUUUUAUUAAGCAAAGGAAACAUUAACUGUAAUUUAUUAAAUUGAUGGAUCGAUUAAUGAAUUGAUGGAUUUGUUCUGGUCGCUAAGGGCCAUACACUGUGUUUGAUAUAGUUUGAUAUUAAAACUGUCAAUCUGCUCUGACACUUCAGUAUACCUCAGCAGGAAUUUAUCCGUUAACUUUAUAUGUCUACCACCUUCUGCAAAUCUGCCCUAAUGCCCUUUGACUUUUCAGAAUUAGUGGAUCUCAUCCUCUGCCACCUGGAUAUUUAUUUGCUGCUGGAGCAAAAGAGCUGCCUCUUCUUCUUGAUCCAUUUUUCAUACUUAAACAGAUUCUUCCAAGUAAAGAAUAUUUUCUCUCAGAACCUACUAAUGAAACUAAAAAUCAAAGUUGUCAGUAAGCUGGUGAUGGAUUUAGUGACCCAGCAGAUCCCUUAUGUCUUAUGUUCAUAAUAUGACUGAGGUAGUUAUUUUUCUUCAUCUUAGAAACUAAGACUUUGCAUUUUUGACGGCAGGAAGGACAAUGUUUACACUAUUGUCAAAGAGGAAAGAAAUAAAGUUUAUAUGUAUGAGUGCCUCAGUUUGUAAUGAUGUGACAUAGGUUUAAUCAUGAAACAGGCUCAUUUGGUAGUCAAUAUUACAGCAAUUUUCUACCAGAUCCCAUAUAUGACUAAAACAAAGCAGCCCUUAAAUGAAAAAAUUAAGAAGGCGGCUCAUUUAUUGCAUCCUUUUAAUAUAUGUAAAUUACUUAAUAGAUUAUAAGAACAUGUAUGUGGAGAAGAGAGAAUGCUUGAACCAUAUUCCAACCUGAGAUUAAUGCCUGACAAGAUUAUCUGUCUGAAGCCUUUUGACUUAAUCAGUUUAUUCCAUGAUUUUAUAAUCUGACAAAGCUAGCUAGGUAUUUGACAUGUAUGCAUUCAUUGUACAACCAAAAAGCAUAUAAAAUAUUGUUUAAAAUUGUAGCAGGUAGGUGUGUUAAUACAUUCUAAACCCCAAAAUUGUUUCUCUAUCUAUAUGUAUUGCCUAUUGACAGAUGAGAGCCAAAAUAAUUCUGACAGCCAUUUCAGCUGAAGGUGGGUAAAUUGUUGAGCUUCAGAAAAAGCAUUUAGAAUAGCCUAAUUAGCAGCUGAAUUUCUGCAGUGAUUUACAGUCAGCUAGUGUCUGAUGUGCAGACUGGAUGCAGACAGGUUGGUUCUGGUGUGCAUUGCAGCAGUGAAAAACAGGAGCCAGCAUUUGCAUUUCAGCAGAUUACUCUGGAUUCACAGAAUUGUAACUAAAAUGUCAUUAGCCCAGUGUUUGUUUCUGAAACUGAAGUUGGGGCUAGUCCAGGUCUCAUUGAAAUGAUUUAGGGUUUUUGCCGCGGAUUUCGGGCAAGUGUCCCACUUUGAGCUCCGAACACAUAAGAACUGUUUAACAGUUUGGUUACUGAGCUCCUUAAACCUCCCAGC
ensembl:lncRNA